GGCUCGUCCGAAGUAGUGGGUUAUCUCAAUUGAUUGUUCACAGUUACAGAUCGAACUCCUUGUUCUAUUUCCUCCCAUCCCUUCUCACUACUGCACUUGACUAGUCUUAA
ensembl:misc_RNA Y_RNA Y RNA